GUACCUACGGGAGGCAGCAGUGAGGGAUAUUGGUCAAUGGGGGAAACCCUGAACCAGCAACGCCGCGUGAGGGAAGACGGUUUUCGGAUUGUAAACCUCUGUCCUCUGUGGAGGGGGACGAUAAUGACGGUACCCCUUUAGGAAGCCACGGCUAACUACGUGCCAGCAGCCGCGGUAAUACGUAGGUGGCGAGCGUUGUCCGGAAUUACUGGGUGUAAAGGGAGUGUAGGCGGGAAAGCAAGUCAGAAGUGAAAACUAUGGGCUUAACCCAUAGCCUGCUUUUGAAACUGUUUUUCUUGAGUGAA
rnacentral:rRNA from 1 species